rnacentral:lncRNA from 1 species
CUUGUGGCAUAUGGGGAUUCCCAGGCUAGGGGUCCAAUCGGAGCUGGAGCUGCUGGCCUACACCACAGCCACAGCAACAUGGGAUCCGAGCCAUGUCUGCAACCUACACCACAGCUCACAGCAACGCCGGAUCCUUAACCCACUGAGUGAGGCCAGGGAUUGAACCCACAACCUCAUGGUUCCUAGUCAGAUUCGUUGACUACUGCGCCACAACGGGAACUCCUGUUUUCUUUUUUUUUUAACCAAGGAAAGAAUACAUUAUGCAUUCUUCUUUUUUUUUUUUAAUGCAUUACACAUUGUUCUGCACCUCAAUUUUUUUUCACUCAACACUGUAUCAAGGCAUUUGUUCCAGAUCAUCACACUCUUCCACUGCUCUGUACUAGUCCAGUGCAAGCAGGUCCCACCAUUCAUGUCAGUCCUAACUUGUCGACAUCUCGUCUGUUCUCAGUUGUCUGUGGCCAUGAAAGUUUCUCUCUAUGGAUCUUUAUACAUUUACAGGGGCCUAGAUUCCUUGAAGAGUAAUUUCUGAGGCAAAGGGAAUAUGUGCUUUGCAUUUUGAUAGAUAUCAGCCAAUAGUCCUCUAAAAAAUUUUACCAGGUUGGACCAAAAGCCACUUUUAGGUCUUUGCCCAUCUAAAGGAUAAAAAAUAGUAUCUCACUGUAAUUUACGUUUUUAAUUAUGAGAGAUGUUAGCAUCUUUUUCCUGUUUCCAAAUCACUGUAUUUCUUUUUCCCUUACCUCUCUUCAACAGUGUUUAAGGCGCCCUUGUACAGCCACAUAGGCAAAGUAUCUGGGACCUGCGGAAUUUUCAAGAGCCUGUAAAAAAAGUUUGAGACCUGGGGUGGGGGUGGGGGAUGUAUUGACUUGCAAAUAUUUUUAAAAGACCAAAAAGCUGAACCCAAAAUGGUAUAAUGUAAUCUCAACCAAACAUAAUCUUACGGCAAGCUCAUUAACUGGAAACUGGAAUUCAUGAACAUUUCAUUACAUUUUAAAGCAAUCUGUUGGUUUAGAUGUUCUCAUUUCAAAAAAAUCCCAAGAAUGCAUGAUGCUUUUCAAGAAAUUCAAGUCCAUUUUCAUUUAAACGCAUUAACUGUAGUUGAAUAAUUUCACAAUCAUAAUUAAUUGAAAACGCUUUUUAAAAAUUUACCAUAACGUGGGAGUUCCCUGGUGACUGGUUCAGUGGUUAAAGGAUCCAGCGUUGUCACUGCUGUGGUCAGGUCACUGCUGAGGGGCAGAUUCAAUCCCUGGCCUGCCCUGGAACUUCCGCAUGCCGCAGGUGCAGCCAAAAAAAAUAAAGAAUCAUAAAAUGACAUUCAAUGUGGAAUUAGAGUGCAUUUUAAUAUGUUUCAUGUGAUUUGGACGGGGCCUCCCAAAUUAAGUGCAUCAAGGGCCAAAAGUGGUUUUAUUUAAAAGGCCUGUAAACCUCCGAACCAGACAGACAAGGUCUCAGUCUCAGGAAAUUUCUAAUCAAAGAACACGCUGACCUUCUCAGCAAAAGUAGGAACGAGUAAAGUGGAUCAGAUCUGAGUCUGGAGCUCGCUGAGGACCCCUGGCUUCUCUCCCAACCCCCUGACUAAAAACUGAGAGUUUUUACAGAGAAAAAACUCUCUCCUGUGUCACACCCAUCCCCAGCCUGGUGACUCAGCGCUGGACAUGGGGAUUUUGGAAAGCUCAGUGGGGUGAUGGAGCGGGGAAAGACGGGGUAGAGGUGAUGCUCUCUCUGCUCUCAGGACCAGCCUGGGGUGGGGGUAGGGAGCAGCAGGACAGACAUAGGGAGGGAAAGAGACAAAUUGUCCCCAGAUGACAUUUUGAGACAGCAGAACAAAAUGCGUUUGGCUCUUCCCUACCCUCUCCCUCUUUUAAAGAGAGAUAGGACUCAGCCCUUGAAAGGGACCAUCUGGGCGUCUAAGUCACAGGUGCGAAGGUUUUAGGACUGGGAGGUGAGCAAUUCAGCACCUCCCCCCUCCUCCCCGUCUGCCUCCCCUCCCCAUCCAGCGGAGGAAAGGCAGGGAGGACCUGGGGGAAGCCGCGCUGGAAUCUCCUGCGUGCCCGCGCGUGCCCUCCCCUAGUACUGUCUCUAUUCCCAGCCACUGGGGUGGGAAUUGGCACAAUGACACGCCAUAAAGUCCAAUCUAUCGAACCCAAUUGAAUUGAAAGGCACGGUGGAGUCAGAUGAGGGGUCUGAUUUCCUCCCCCUCAUGUUUGUUCUCAGCCCGCUGUGUGGCCUUGAGCAACGGCUGCCGCCUCUGAGCUGUUUCCGCAUUUGUACAGAGAGCGCCAGAAAACUUGGUCUGCGGGGACAUUAUGCAGACCCAGUGAACUGAAAUCGGCAAGGCAUUUAGCUCUGGGCCGGGCCUUUUUAAUUCUUACCCUUUGGCUGCAGUGGCGGGAAAGCAAAUGUUUGCCAGGUAGGGGGAGGUGGGUGGAGCUGAUGGUGGCCCCUCGCCAGCCAGAGAGGACUUUGAGCUUGCCCCGGAGUGCCAGGAGGGAGCCACUGAAGGUUCUGCAGCGAGGGAGGGGGCCAGAUCCGGGAGGGGCCGGGAUCCUCGGCCCUCACCCAGAUCCAAAACCCCGCCUCUGGUGUUCUCUCUUCCUCCAAUGCACCCCCUCCCACAGCCCAGGGCCACAGCUCUGCUCCCACCAAGACCGAGUCUGGGAGAACAGCAGAGUGAGCCCCAGGACAAAGCCUAACUAAGGCUAUGCCUGAGCCCGGGCUUGAACCCCUACUCUGAGCCCCCCUCACUGGGUGUUUUGGAUUCCUCUGGGCCUCAGCCUUCUCCCUGCAAAGUGGGGCGACAACAGCGACCUCACGGGGUGGUGGGGAUGGUUAGUUGAGAUAAUAUGUAAAAGCACCUGGCGGCAUGCCUGCUGUACAGGUGGAGUUCAGUGUACGGUGCCAUUAACUGAGAAAGCGGACAGGGGAUCCAAAGGGAGAGAAUGAGGAUCAGAGACGGGGAAGAAUGACACACGGGCCCUUUGCCUCUCUGGAUGGUCCACCUGCAGCCAAGGAAAAAGCCCUUUGGGAGGAGGGGGUGAUUGGGGGGGCAGCUAUUGGGUAAGAGAGGAGGUCAUCCCUGGCCCGCUUCCCUCCUCUACUUCUACCUCCCGCCCAGCUUGGUCACCCAGUUUAGGGUGACAGGGCUGGGCAUGGUGGACCAGCAGCAAUCCUCCAGAUUCCAGAACUGGGCCUCCUGCAAAAGGUGGGUGAGGGUGUAAGGUGCUUCCAGGUGAUAAGAGAGCUGCAGGUGUCGGGCCAUAGGAGCUGGGAUUCCCCAUCCAUCACCCAUCAGGGCCCCAAGCCCAGCCCACCAGGCUUAACUGGAAGCCCGAGGCUGCUCCAUUUGCAGUGUGGGUCUGCGUGCGAGAAAGCUGGUAACACUGGCUGAGACCGGUUCACUCUCACCCACAGGCCAGCUGGGCCCUCCCCAGUGGCUGGGCACCUGAGCAGGUGUGUGUGUGUGGAGGGGGGGGGCUACAAGCUGUCACUUCUAAAUAUAGAGCCUGGCAGCCUGGGAGUCAGCCAGGUGCGGCUGCCACAUGGCCCCCCAAACUGGCUGAUACGCAUGUGCCCGCCAGUUCUGGGCCUGCACAGACACACAUCAAAACUGCCUCGCACAGACCCCCAGGGACCCACGGAUACCCCCAAAGACACACACUCAGCUUGGCAUGUACACGUCCCCCCAAAGACACACACUCAGCUUGGCAUGUACACGUCCCUGUCCUUGUUGAGGCCCCUUAUCCACACACACCCUCUCCCCACACUCAUACUCUGCAACGCACACUGACACCAACCGGGCAGCCCCUGCUUGAACAACAGCCUCCCGAGGGCGGCAUCCCCCGUUCUUGUCCACUGCUGUCUCCUCUGCCUGUAACCGUGUCCAGCACAUACCAGGUGCCCAGAAACGUUUGCUCUCUGAAUGAAUGCACACACACACUCACACACACACACAUUCUGUAAUAAUUACCCCCACUCUCACCUGAUCCCUGCCCCCCUGUGCUGGGUCUACUAGGCCCUACCAAGGACAAGACCAGAAGGCCUGUCCUCCUCUGGCCUGGCCAAUCCCCCAUAGCCAGAGUCCAAGCCAGGCUGAGGACCUGAGCGGGAGGGUGGAGAGGGCAGCCCAGGGAAAGAAGUAGCUUCGAACCCCUAUUUAGGAGGAUGUGGGAAUCAUUGUUUGCUACAGGACAAACCUCCCUGGAGGAGCCACCGCACCACGCUGGAGUUCUGGGUUGGGCCACAUCCCCAGAAAUCCACCAGGGGAGGGGAACACGUGACCCCUAUAAGGCCCUCCCCAGCCCCCUCCUCUGAAGGAGUGCCCCAUUUUAGGUGAUACCACCCCAUCUAGGAGCCCUCAGCUCUGCCCCCAUAGUGCUUGGGCUGGGCUUCCCACAGCCUGCACAUGGAUGUAACAGAGUGACACUUCAGGGGGAGUUCCCAUUGUAGCUCCGUAGGUUAAGAACCUGAUUAGUAUCCAUGAGGGUACAGGUUCAAUCCCCAGCCUCGCUCAGUUCACAGAUGUGGCUUGGAUCCGGUGUUACUCUGGCUGUGGCUGGCAGGUGCAGCUCCGAUUCAACCCCUAGGCUGGAAACUUCCAUAUGCUAAGGUGUGCCCUAAAAAGAAAAAAAAAAAAAAAGGAAAAAAAUAAAAAAGAGUGAUGCCUGGGGACACAGGAGCAGAGGGGGGUGGUGGUCAGGGAGGACUCCCUGGAGGAGAGGAGCCUUGUACAGUGAGAGACAGGAGGGCCUUCUGGGAAGAUGGCUGGAAGAGGCAUCUGAGCAUCUCUGACUCCAGGACUGCUGAGGGAGCACCGUGACUGUGCUGGGACCUCACAAUUCCCAUGAGAUGAAGCGGAGGCUGAUUGGGCAGGCUGAGCACCAGGGAUGAGGAGGGGAUGCUGUGAUCCCAGAGCGACUGAAGGUCGGGUGAGAUUUAUAGUCAGAGCCUGCAUCAGUAGACUGGAGAAGAAGGUGACUGAGGGGGGCAAGCUGAUAAAGGGAGGACUAGGGACAGCACUAAGGACAGAUGAGUGGCCAAUGGAUGGACAUAUGCAUAGACUAGCAGAUGGACUGAAAGACACAGGAGCAUGAAUAGACAAAUGGAAAGACAGAAGUGGGUGGCUGGCCACUGGGGUCACUCUCUGAAGCCCCACAAGAGCCUGAAGACCCAGCUACUUCCCCUGCAGACCACUCCCACCCCAGCUCCAUUCCCUGUCUCCUUUCCCAGACCAGGUUCCCAGGGAGGCAGACACCUGCUUGGCCUGAUGCCCAGAGAUGCACUUUCCAGCCAAGUACAAGCCCAGAAAUGGAUCACCUCCUGGUGUUCUUACCUGUGCAGGUGUGCAUAGGAUGGGGUGGGGUCAGCGCCAUAUCUAUGGGCUAAUACCUCCAAAAAUAGCCUCCCAGCAACUGGGGAGUACCCCAAUCAUGGCUCACGUGCGCGCACACACACACACACACACACACACACACACACACACAGCCGCUGGCAGAAUCAACCCCAUAGACACUUGAUGCACACACAGGUGCAUUCACUGACACACUGGCACCCAAACACCAGUCCCCCAAACACCACAACUACCAAACUGCAUAGCAACAGAAUGAGCCAACCACAUGGUCUACAAUGUAUGGGGCCACCUGGCCCCUCAGAUACACCCCAACACCAUGCUGUCAUUAAUCUACAAAUGUGCAUUGAACAGCUUCUGGACCCAACCCUAUGGGAUUUCGGAGCACCUUCAAUAGCUCUUCCCAGAGAAAGCUGGACCCACAGGGUCCUUCAUGCUUCACCCUCCAACCCUGCCUCCUACCCUAGCACCUCACAUUUGCCCUCCAUCCAGCAACAUCUGACACCUUAGGGGGGUUCUCUCCUUUCAUAUGCUUGGAUCCACAUUAUUCCUGCAACUAGGAACCCUUUCCCCAUUUCACUCCUGAACCCCACAUACCAGACCUAUCAUUCAAGACAGAUCUCUGCAUACCUAAAGUUUAACAGUGGGACACACAACAGGGCCUAAAUGUUUGUUGACUGACUGACCAACUUACCAGCUGGGUGAAAUCAUUAGGAAUAUAAAUCAGCUAAGAAUAGUGCAUAAUUAAAGUUCCCAUCAUGGCUCGGUGGUUAACAAACCCGACUAGUAGCCAUGAAGACGCGGGUUCAAUCCCUGGCCUUGCUCAGUGGGUUAAGGAUCCUACAUUGCUGUGAGCUGUGGUGUAGCUCACAGACAUGGCUCGGAUCCCUAGUAGUUGUGGCUGUGGUGCAGGCCGGCAGCUGUAGCUCCAAUUCGACCCCUUAGCCUGGGAACUUCCAUAUGCUGCAGGUAUGGUGCUAAAAAGACAAAAAAAAAAAAAAAAAAAAUAGUGCCUAAUAGGCUGGUGCGGACUAGCUGCUGUGGAAUUCUAAUCAGAGCAGGGGAGCAACUCUGGGCUGGGGGCUUUGAACCCCACAAGCACACAUUUGUCUCAGCCAUCCCAUAGAGGGAGGGAGCCCUGCACCCUUGAGCUUCCACUUGCCAUAGAAAAGAUGCACAACUGACCAGUCAGCCAGGCCCAGCCCUCCAACAAGGGCAAGGGAGAUUAUCAGGCCACAGAAGGAGACCUCAAGCUAAAGCCAGGGUCUCCUAACCCCCUGUUCCCUCCACCUACCAACACCUUGGGAAACCCAGGCACUUUUCUAGGGUUUUAUUUAGGGCUGGACAUUCCCAGGGCAGACCCUCUGCCAACUCAGCAGGUCUGGGGACUCGGGAUGUGCUAACGCUGGCAGCCCUUCCACGCCCCAUUUGGGCUCCGUUGGCCAGAUCUCACCCUGGCCUGGGCCUGGGCUGGCACUGAUUGAUUGAUUGACAUGGAGUUUCAUUCCUUUAGAAGGGCCAGUCACACCCGGACAGGGUUCACCGAGUCAGGCUCUUUUCUCAGCACUUUAUUUGUAAUCCCCGCAGGGACCCUACAAGGUAGAUAACUAUUCUGAUGCCCACUUCACAGGGGUGGAAACCAAGGCACAGAGAUAGAGGAACCAAUAUACUAAAAUCACAGCAGCCAGGAGUGGCUUGAGGAAUCCGGAUUCAAACCCAGACUGGUUCCACACUUUUAACCACUAUACCAUACUAUGUCUCUUUUUAUAGUUUUUUUUUUUUUUAAAGUAAACAUGAGAUUACUUGGUCCUGGUUGCCUUUGGCACCAGAGGCAUGGACAUGUGACAUUACAGGUCAUUCCCAGCCCUGCCUCUCUCUCUCUCUGGCACACACACACACACACACACACACACACACACACACACACAGUCUGCCUCAUCCUGGUGCUGCCAGGCACAUCGGUGACCUCCUGGUUCCUCCACAGCCAGGCAUCAGGCCUGUGGGAACACAGUGCUCUCGUAUUUGGAUCCAAGUCUAUUCUGGAACAUACCACCCUAUGCCUCUCCCCUCGGCUGCCACCCUAGUUCCGCCCCUGGGGCCAGCAUUCCUGGAAAGCUCCAAGACAGCUUCUUUCAGGGGAGAUUUUCCACGGGGCCUGUGCAGCCAGAAUUGGCAUAAGCUGAGGAGGGUCCUACCCACAGUCCCUGUCUUGGGGCCAGGAAGCUUGGAGCAUCCCUGGGGUAUCGGGGCCGUUCCUCUUCUCCAUGGCAGAGGCCUUGGCAGAUGGGACACUCGCAGCUCCUUCCCCAUCCUGGUGUGUCCUCUUGGCCUCAGAGGAGUUCGGGUCUCCAGCACUCUUGUCUCAGCUCUGCUCAGUCCCACCCCAUGACCAGGGAGUGUGUUCCUGCGGGGCCCAGCCCUGUGCUGGGUGCUGUGGACCUGCCCCUGGAGGCUCGCCGCUCUGCACGGACAGACGAGCAGCCUGCCCGUGAGCUGCCAGCAACACAGCGCUGCAGCAAAUCCCCAAAGACCUUCCUGGACCUGGGCUCAGGCACCAGGACCUCGUCCUCCUGCUCAGGGACCCCAAGAGCUCGUCCUAUCCUGCGUGGUGACCCCUGGCCCCAGCCCUGGCUGUUGUUUCGGUGGCAGGAAAGCCUCUCGCCCGAAGCUCAAUGUCCUGCCUGCGCUCAGCGGAUGACUAACCUGCCCCUCCUCAGCCUGGCACUUCCAGCCCCUCCUUCUGGCUCCGCCUGAGUCAGAGGCCCGUCAGCUUCUGAUGCCCCUGAGGCCCAGCAGAUUUGGGUGGGAAGGCUGUGUCCUAUGCCAGGGCCUGAGGAGACGGGCCAGGCCCUCACUCCUCACUGGCCUGACCUUUUAGCAGGAACUUCUAAGCAUUCUUUGAUCUCGAAAUGCCACAUGUGCGCCCUGGAUUACUUUACAGUCACAUAAAAGAAGCCUCCAGACUGGCCCCUUGGGGACUUUGGCCCCCAAGCGGGGAACGGGAGGGAGCCGUUCCCUGGAGACAGGCUUUUCUUAUAAUAUUUACUGAACAGAAAGAGCUCCUUCCUUUUAUCAAACACCACUGGGACUGUCUCAGCCCGGCCUGCCCAAGCCCCAGAGUCCCCAUCAAUAGGGGCCACCCUUCUCCCCUCCUUCCUCCACCUCUGCCAUCGGGACCCACCAGCAGCCCGGAUGUCCCCAAGCUGGGUCUCAGGAUGCAUCUUGCAGGCCUCGUUUCCUUUACAGUUUUAUUUCAUCCAGCCUGCACAACCCCAUGGGGUAGGAAGGGAGAUCAUUUCCAUUUUACAGAUAGGAACACUUGGACUCAGAGAGGUCUAGUACCUUUCCUGAGUCGCACAGCCAGUAAAGGGCAAACCUCUCCUGCAUGCAGUAGUCUAUAAGGCUAUACAUCUAUAAGUCUCCAGACUUGCUUGAUU